UACGUAGGAGGCAAGCGUUGUCCGGAUUUACUGGGCGUAAAGCGCGCGCAGGCGGCAGUGCAAGUAAGGUGUGAAAUCUCCCUGCUCAACGGGGAGGGUGCAUUUUAGACUGCACAGCUAGAGGUCGGUAGAGGGGGGUGGAAUUGCUGGUGUAGCGGUGAAAUGCGUAGAGAUCAGCAGGAACACCCGUGGCGAAGGCGGCCCCCUGGGCCGAUACUGACGCUGAGGUGCGAAAGCGUGGGGAGCAAACAGG
rnacentral:rRNA from 1 species